UUUGAAAAAUUACAUCUUUUACAUUUUUACAUUUCUAAAAUUGGGAUGCAUCUUUCAAUUAAUGGGAAAUUGCAAACACUGUAGGCCAGGUGGUGGUUGUGAUGUAUGAAUUUGUCAUUGCCUGCACAUGUGCAAACUUGAUUGCUCUUCCUGCUGGCAUGACUGAAUGACUCCGUUCUCUUGAGGUUUCAACUUAAUGAAAUACUUAAGGGUUAUUUUUUGUUUUACUUUAUUUAUAACUGACACAUAAUUGUACAUAUUUAUGGGGUAUGGUGUGAUAUUUCAAUACAUGUAUUACACUGUAUAAUGUCAAAUCAGAGUAAUUAGCACAUCCAUCACUUUAAAUACAUAUUAUUUCUUUGUAGUGAUAUCAUUCAAAAUCCUCUCUUCUACCUAUGUUGAAAUAUACCAUAAACUAUUGUGAGUUAUAGUCAUUCUAUUGUGAAGUAGAACACCAGAAUGUCUUCUUUCCAUCCAACUGUAACUUUAUGCCCAUUGCCCAACCUUCCUCAUUCUCCCCUCUCCUCUAUACUAACCAGCCUCUGACAACCACCAUUCUACUCUCUACUAUGAAUCAACUUUUCAGGAUUCCACAUAUCCUUUUCAGGAUCCCACCACCUGGCCCACAGUGUUUGCAAUUUCCCAUUAUGAGCUCAUGUGGUAUUUGUCUUUUUGUGCCUGGCUUAUUUUACUUAACAUAAUGUCCUCCAGGUUCAUCCAUGUUGCCACAAAUGAUAGGAUUUUGUUCUGUUUUAUGACUGAGGAGUGUUAUAUUGUGUAU
rnacentral:lncRNA from 10 species